UACGUAGGGUCCGAGCGUUGUCCGGAAUUAUUGGGCGUAAAGGGCUCGUAGGCGGUCCGUCGCGUCGGGAGUGAAAACUCGGAGCUUAACUCCAAGCCUGCUUCCGAUACGGGCAGACUAGAGGUAGGCAGGGGAGAGCGGAACUCCUGGUGUAGCGGUGGAAUGCGCAGAUAUCCGGAGGAACACCGGUGGCGAAGGCGGCUUCCUGGACCGACACUGACGCUGAGGCGCGAAAGCUAGGGGAGCAAACGGG
rnacentral:rRNA from 1 species